UCCUAUUCCGUUUCUUUUUCACUAAAUAACUAUUGAAUAUAGGUCUCCUUUCCAUUUUACCCUCCUAUUUUCUCAUGCUAGAAAAGUUCUCACUCAGCUCAAUCUCAGUCCCGACCUCCCUUGCUUCCUUCGUCUUCGGCCAGCAGUAGUCCUCCCUUAGGUUUGUGGGAGAGGGGUGUUAAGGUCAUCUUUUCAGCUGUGUAACUUUUCUUCUAAAGAGGAAAGUCAAGGUGCAAUCGAUGCUUCUCCAACGAUUUGAGUGCGGGGUACUUUUGGCUCAUUGUCGGUUCCGAUUGUCUUGAGAUUGUGUUCCCAGUAAAAACAAAUCAGGUAAUCCUUAGGCAUAGGCGGGUUUGUGCGACGGAGGCUCAGUGGUGACCACUAGUAUGGAAACUAUUUUUAGCUAAUAAUCUAAUUAAUUUUUUUUCUAGAUUUUUCUUUGAGAGCUUUGUAAUUUGGGGACUCUCUGGACUGUUUUGUUUAUAAUUUUUGGAUUUGGAUGCAUUUUUUAUUUAUAUCCUGCCACGUUUUACAAAA